GUUUUUGCUUGGCAGCACAUAUACUAAAAUUGGAACAAUACAGAGAAGACUAGCUUGGACUCUUCACAAGGAUGACACACAUUUUGUGAAGCACUCUAUAAAAAU
ensembl:snRNA U6 U6 spliceosomal RNA